UUCCGGUUGAUCCUGCCGGACCCGACUGCUAUCAGAGUGGGACUAAGCCAUGCGAGUCGACGUAGCAAUGCGUGGCGAACGGCUCAGUAACACGUAGUCAACAUGCCCAGGGGACGUGGAUAACCUCGGGAAACUGAGAAUAAACCACGAUAGGUCACGAUUUCUGGAAUGGAUCAUGGCCUAAAUCUACAUGGCCCCUGGAUUGGACUGCGGCCGAUCAGGCAGUUGGUGAGGUAAUGGCCCACCAAACCUAUAACCGGUACGGGCUCUGAGAGGAGAAGCCCGGAGAUGGGCACUGAGACAAGGGCCCAGGCCCUAUGGGGCGCAGCAGGCGCGAAACCUCUGCAAUAGGCGAAAGCCUGACAGGGUUACUCUGAGUGAUUUCCGCUAAGGGGAUCUUUUGGCACCUCUAAAAAUGGUGCAGAAUAAGGGGUGGGCAAGUCUGGUGUCAGCCGCCGCGGUAAUACCAGCACCCCGAGUGGUCGGGACGAUUAUUGGGCCUAAAGCAUCCGUAGCCGGUUCUGCAAGUCUUCCGUUAAAUCCAGCCGCUCAACGGAUGGGCCGCGGAGGAUACUACAGGACUAGGAGGCGGGAGAGGCAAGCGGUACUCAGUGGGUAGGGGUAAAAUCCUUUGAUCCAUUGAAGACCACCAGUGGCGAAGGCGGCUUGCCAGAACGCGCUCGACGGUGAGGGAUGAAAGCUGGGGGAGCGAACCGGAUUAGAUACCCGGGGUAGUCCCAG
rnacentral:rRNA from 1 species